GGUCCCGUAGCUCAGCUGGAUAGAGCCGCAGCCUCCUAAGCUGUGGGUCGGAGGUUCGAGUCCUGGGACCGCCA
rnacentral:tRNA from 1 species